UACGUAGGCAGCAAGCGUUGUUCGGAAUUACUGGGCGUAAAGAGUGCGUAGGCGGUUCCGCAAGUUUGUCGUGAAAUCUCCCGGCUUAACUGGGAGGGUGCGGCGAAGACUGCGGGGCUGGAGUGUGGGAGAGGUAAGCGGAAUUCCUGGUGUAGCGGUGAAAUGCGUAGAUAUCAGGAAGGAACACCGGCGGUGUAGACGGCUUACUGGACCAUGACUGACGCUGAGGCACGAAAGCGUGGGGAGCAAACAGG
rnacentral:rRNA from 1 species